GCGAGUGUGGUGGAAUUGGUAGACACGCUAGUCUUAGGAACUAGUGCCUCCGGUGUAAGGGUUCGAGUCCCUUCACUCGCA
rnacentral:tRNA from 2 species